rnacentral:rRNA from 1 species
AUAAAAAACCAACGCCCUUCGGGGCUCCUUGGUGAAUCAUAAUAACUUAACGAAUCGCAUGGCCUUGCGCCGGCGAUGGUUCAUUCAAAUUUCUGCCCUAUCAACUUUCGAUGGUAGGAUAGUGGCCUACCAUGGUGGCAACGGGUAACGGGGAAUUAGGGUUCGAUCCCGGAGAGGGAGCCUGAGAAACGGCUACCACAUCCAAGGAAGGCAGCAGGCGCGCAAAUUACCCAAUCCCGAUACGGGGAGGUAGUGACAAUAAAUACUGAUACGGGGCUCUUUUGGGUCUCGUAAUUGGAAUGAGAACAAUUUAAAUCCCUUAACGAGGAACAAUUGGAGGGCAAGUCUGGUGCCAGCAGCCGCGGUAAUUCCAGCUCCAAUAGCGUAUAUUAAAGUUGUUGCAGUUAAAAAGCUCGUAGUUGAACCUUGGGUCUGGCUGGCCGGUCCGCCUCACCGCGAGUACUGGUCCGGCUGGACCUUUCCUUCUGGGGAACCCCAUGGCCUUCACUGGCUGUGG